GGUUCCUUAGCACAGUGGUAGUGCUUUGUACUUAUGGGAUAACUUGAAUGCAAAGGUCGCGAGUUCAAUCCUCGCAGGAACCA